UACGUAGGGUGCGAGCGUUGUCCGGAAUUAUUGGGCGUAAAGAGCGUGUAGGCGGCCAGGUAGGUCUGGUGUGAAAACUCGAGGCUUAACCUCGAGAUGUCAUCGGAAACCAUCUGGCUAGAGUCCGGAAGAGGAGAGUGGAAUUCCUGGUGUAGCGGUGAGAUGCGCAGAUAUCAGGAAGAACACCAAUGGCGAAAGCAGCUCUCUGGGACGGUACUGACGCUGAGACGCGAAAGCGUGGGGAGCGAACAGG
rnacentral:rRNA from 1 species